GUUGACCUCGGAUCAGGUAGGGAUACCCGCUGAACUUAAGCAUAUCAAUAAGCGGAGGAAAAGAAACCACCGGGAUUACCCUAGUAACGGCGAGUGAAGCGGUAAGAGCUCAAAUUUGAAAGCUGGCCCCUUCGGGGUCCGCAUUGUAAUUUGCAGAGGAUGCUUCGGGAGCGGUCCCCAUCUAAGUGCCCUGGAACGGGCCGUCAUAGAGGGUGAGAAUCCCGUAUGGGAUGGGGUGCCCGCGCCCGUGUGAAGCUCCUUCGACGAGUCGAGUUGUUUGGGAAUGCAGCUCUAAUUGGGUGGUAAAUUUCAUCUAAAGCUAAAUAUUGGCCGGAGACCGAUAGCGCACAAGUAGAGUGAUCGAAAGAUGAAAAGCACUUUGAAAAGAGAGUUAAACAGCACGUGAAAUUGUUGAAAGGGAAGCGCUUGCGAUCAGACUCGCUCGCGGGGUUCAGCCGGCCUUCGGGCCGGUGUACUUCCCCGCGGGCGGGCCAGCGUCGGUUUGGGCGGCCGGUCAAAGGCCCCUGGAAUGUAACGCCUCUCGGGGCGUCUUAUAGCCAGGGGUGCCAUGCGGCCUGCCCGGACCGAGGAACGCGCUUCGGCUCGGACGCUGGCAUAAUGGUCGUAAGCG
rnacentral:rRNA from 1 species